rnacentral:lncRNA from 1 species
CCAGUAUAAUAUACAAACAAAAAAAGCACGAUUAUAACUUGAUCAAAGGAGGAUAACAGAGAAAAUCGAAGACUGAAACUACCACUAAUACUACAACAGCCACACCACAAACCAAAGUCCCAAAUGAUUAAACAAUUAACUCUACUCAGGCGCUUCCAAGAAUAUUAGAGUCGAGGAGGACAGCAGCCCAUUGUCCUUAUUCCGAUGACAGAAUAACAAAGUGCAUACAUUACAUGCUAAGUAUUGUGCUGAAGAAGAUUAUUUCCAUGGCAUGCCUUGAAUGUUAUUGUUACUGAAAGGUCCUGUCCUCUGAUUGAGUGGACUAGCAGGCCCACCAGAGGACUCGCUCAGAGUCCCGUGUGAUGGUGAGCUGCUGGCACCAAUUGCACCACCCCGGUUGAUAUUUGGUGGAGCCGAUAAAGGAUCCAUAUGGUUCGCAGGUUUUGAUCCCUUGCGACCAUCUGCUAUGAAACUGCCAACAAUUACCUGCCAAGUGAGAGAAUUUACUUUAGCAAUGCGAAAAACAUUGAUAAUGCAUUACAUAGCAUUAAGCAAGAGAAUGAUCUGUAGGACCCUAGUGUGUUCUGUUCAAAUGUUGUGUUCUGGAGAUGGAGGAAUUUACUAUUCUUGUCUUGAUUGAAAUAUUUCAGUAAUUGUCUUCAUCGAAAAAUUCAAGUGCCAAUUAAAUGCUAGUAGCACAAACAGUUUUUAUAAAAUAUAAAAAAAUGAUGAUGAUGAUGAAAGCAACUAUGAUCAAAGCAAAUUAAUCAACUCAAGACGAGCAAAUGAUGGGAUCUGACNN